rnacentral:rRNA from 1 species
UGGGGAAUUUUGCACAAUGGGGGGAACCUUGAUGCAGCGACGCCGCGUGAGGGAUGGAGGCCUUCGGGUUGUGAACCUCUUUCGCUCGUGUGCAAGCCGCUAUUUGGGUAGUGGUGAGUGUAGCGGGUAAAGAAGCGCCGGCUAACUACGUGCCAGCAGCCGCGGUAAUACGUAGGGCGCGAGCGUUGUCCGGAUUUAUUGGGCGUAAAGGGCUUGUAGGCGGUUUGUCGCGCCUGUCGUGUAAUCCUCUGGCUUAACUGGGGGUGUGCGGUGGGUACGCGGAGGCUUGAGUGCGGUAGGGGAGAUGGGCAUUCCUGGUGUAGCGGUGGAAUGCGCAGAUAUCAGGAGGGACACCGGUGGGGAAGGCGGGUCUCUGGGCCGUUACUGACGCUGAGGGGCGAAAGCGUGGGGAGCGAACAGG